CGCUGGCGGCGUGCCUAAUACAUGCAAGUCGAACGAACUCUGGUAUUGAUUGGUGCUUGCAUCAUGAUUUACAUUUGAGUGAGUGGCGAACUGGUGAGUAACACGUGGGAAACCUGCCCAGAAGCGGGGGAUAACACCUGGAAACAGAUGCUAAUACCGCAUAACAACUUGGACCGCAUGGUCCGAGUUUGAAAGAUGGCUUCGGCUAUCACUUUUGGAUGGUCCCGCGGCGUAUUAGCUAGAUGGUGAGGUAACGGCUCACCAUGGCAAUGAUACGUAGCCGACCUGAGAGGGUAAUCGGCCACAUUGGGACUGAGACACGGCCCAAACUCCUACGGGAGGCAGCAGUAGGGAAUCUUCCACAAUGGACGAAAGUCUGAUGGAGCAACGCCGCGUGAGUGAAGAAGGGUUUCGGCUCGUAAAACUCUGUUGUUAAAGAAGAACAUAUCUGAGAGUAACUGUUCAGGUAUUGACGGUAUUUAACCAGAAAGCCACGGCUAACUACGUGCCAGCAGCCGCGGUAAUACGUAGGUGGCAAGCGUUGUCCGGAUUUAUUGGGCGUAAAGCGAGCGCAGGCGGUUUUUUAAGUCUGAUGUGAAAGCCUUCGGCUCAACCGAAGAAGUGCAUCGGAAACUGGGAAACUUGAGUGCAGAAGAGGACAGUGGAACUCCAUGUGUAGCGGUGAAAUGCGUAGAUAUAUGGAAGAACACCAGUGGCGAAGGCGGCUGUCUGGUCUGUAACUGACGCUGAGGCUCGAAAGUAUGGGUAGCAAACAGGAUUAGAUACCCUGGUAGUCCAUACCGUAAACGAUGAAUGCUAAGUGUUGGAGGGUUUCCGCCCUUCAGUGCUGCAGCUAACGCAUUAAGCAUUCCGCCUGGGGAGUACGGCCGCAAGGCUGAAACUCAAAGGAAUUGACGGGGGCCCGCACAAGCGGUGGAGCAUGUGGUUUAAUUCGAAGCUACGCGAAGAACCUUACCAGGUCUUGACAUACUAUGCAAAUCUAAGAGAUUAGACGUUCCCUUCGGGGACAUGGAUACAGGUGGUGCAUGGUUGUCGUCAGCUCGUGUCGUGAGAUGUUGGGUUAAGUCCCGCAACGAGCGCAACCCUUAUUAUCAGUUGCCAGCAUUAAGUUGGGCACUCUGGUGAGACUGCCGGUGACAAACCGGAGGAAGGUGGGGAUGACGUCAAAUCAUCAUGCCCCUUAUGACCUGGGCUACACACGUGCUACAAUGGAUGGUACAACGAGUUGCGAACUCGCGAGAGUAAGCUAAUCUCUUAAAGCCAUUCUCAGUUCGGAUUGUAGGCUGCAACUCGCCUACAUGAAGUCGGAAUCGCUAGUAAUCGCGGAUCAGCAUGCCGCGGUGAAUACGUUCCCGGGCCUUGUACACACCGCCCG
rnacentral:rRNA from 2 species